GCCGGGCGUGGUGGCACAUGCCUGUAAUUCCAGCAGCUCUGGAGGCUGAAGUAGGAGGAUCAUGAGUUCAACGCCAGCCUCAGCAAAAGCAAGGCACUAAGCAACUCAGUGAGACCCUAUCUCUA
rnacentral:sRNA from 1 species